rnacentral:rRNA from 1 species
GGGUUGUGAGGUUAAGCGACUAAGCGUACACGGUGGAUGCCCUGGCAGUCAGAGGCGAUGAAGGACGUGCUAAUCUGCGAAAAGCGUCGGUAAGGUGAUAUGAACCGUUAUAACCGGCGAUGUCCGAAUGGGGAAACCCAGUGCAAUUCGUUGCACUAUCGUUAACUGAAUACAUAGGUUAACGAGGCGAACCGGGGGAACUGAAACAUCUAAGUACCCCGAGGAAAAGAAAUCAACCGAGAUUCCCCCAGUAGCGGCGAGCGAACGGGGAGCAGCCCAGAGUCUGAAUCAGCUUGUGUGUUAGUGGAACGGUCUGGAAAGUCCGACGGUACAGGGUGAUAGUCCCGUACACCAAAAUGCACAGGCUGUGAACUCGAAGAGUAGGGCGGGACACGUGGUAUCCUGUCUGAAUAUGGGGGGACCAUCCUCCAAGGCUAAAUACUCCUGACUGACCGAUAGUGAACCAGUACCGUGAGGGAAAGGCGAAAAGAACCCCGGCGAGGGGAGUGAAAAAGAACCUGAAACCGUGUACGUACAAGCAGUGGGAGCACCUUCGGGUGUGACUGCGUACCUUUUGUAUAAUGGGUCAGCGACUUAUAUUCUGUAGCAAGGUUAACCGUAUAGGGGAGCCGCAGGGAAACCGAGUCUUAACUGGGCGUUAAGUUGCAGGGUAUAGACCCGAAACCCGGUGAUCUAGCCAUGGGCAGGUUGAAGGUUGGGUAACACUAACUGGAGGACCGAACCGACUAAUGUUGAAAAAUUAGCGGAUGACUUGUGGCUGGGGGUGAAAGGCCAAUCAAACCGGGAGAUAGCUGGUUCUCCCCGAAAGCUAUUUAGGUAGCGCCUCGUGAACUCAUCUUCGGGGGUAGAGCACUGUUUCGGCUAGGGGGUCAUCCCGACUUACCAACCCGAUGCAAACUACGAAUACCGAAGAAUGUUAUCACGGGAGACACACGGCGGGUGCUAACGUCCGUCGUGAAGAGGGAAACAACCCAGACCGCCAGCUAAGGUCCCAAAGUCAUGGUUAAGUGGGAAACGAUGUGGGAAGGCACAGACAGCCAGGAUGUUGGCUUAGAAGCAGCCAUCAUUUAAAGAAAGCGUAAUAGCUCACUGGUCGAGUCGGCCUGCGCGGAAGAUGUAACGGGGCUAAACCAUGCACCGAAGCUGCGGCAGCGACACUAUGUGUUGUUGGGUAGGGGAGCGUUCUGUAAGCCUGCGAAGGUGUGCUGUGAGGCAUGCUGGAGGUAUCAGAAGUGCGAAUGCUGACAUAAGUAACGAUAAAGCGGGUGAAAAGCCCGCUCGCCGGAAGACCAAGGGUUCCUGUCCAACGUUAAUCGGGGCAGGGUGAGUCGACCCCUAAGGCGAGGCCGAAAGGCGUAGUCGAUGGGAAACAGGUUAAUAUUCCUGUACUUGGUGUUACUGCGAAGGGGGGACGGAGAAGGCUAUGUUAGCCGGGCGACGGUUGUCCCGGUUUAAGCAUGUAGGCUGAUUGUCCAGGCAAAUCCGGAUAAUCAAGGCUGAGGUGUGAUGACGAGGCACUACGGUGCUGAAGUAACAAAUGCCCUGCUUCCAGGAAAAGCCUCUAAGCAUCAGGUAACAUUAAAUCGUACCCCAAACCGACACAGGUGGUCAGGUAGAGAAUACCAAGGCGCUUGAGAGAACUCGGGUGAAGGAACUAGGCAAAAUGGUGCCGUAACUUCGGGAGAAGGCACGCUGGUGUGUAGGUGAAGCCCCUGCGGGUGGAGCUGAGACCAGUCGAAGAUACCAGCUGGCUGCAACUGUUUAUUAAAAACACAGCACUGUGCAAACACGAAAGUGGACGUAUACGGUGUGACGCCUGCCCGGUGCCGGAAGGUUAAUUGAUGGGGUUAUCCGUAAGGAGAAGCUCUUGAUCGAAGCCCCGGUAAACGGCGGCCGUAACUAUAACGGUCCUAAGGUAGCGAAAUUCCUUGUCGGGUAAGUUCCGACCUGCACGAAUGGCGUAAUGAUGGCCAGGCUGUCUCCACCCGAGACUCAGUGAAAUUGAACUCGCUGUGAAGAUGCAGUGUACCCGCGGCAAGACGGAAAGACCCCGUGAACCUUUACUAUAGCUUGACACUGAACAUUGAGCCUUGAUGUGUAGGAUAGGUGGGAGGCUUUGAAGCGUGGACGCCAGUCUGCGUGGAGCCAACCUUGAAAUACCACCCUUUAAUGUUUGAUGUUCUAACGUUGGCCCCUUACCGGGGUUGCGGACAGUGUCUGGUGGGUAGUUUGACUGGGGCGGUCUCCUCCCAAAGCGUAACGGAGGAGCACGAAGGUUAGCUAAUCCUGGUCGGACAUCAGGAGGUUAGUGCAAUGGCAUAAGCUAGCUUGACUGCGAGCGUGACGGCGCGAGCAGGUGCGAAAGCAGGUCAUAGUGAUCCGGUGGUUCUGAAUGGAAGGGCCAUCGCUCAACGGAUAAAAGGUACUCCGGGGAUAACAGGCUGAUACCGCCCAAGAGUUCAUAUCGACGGCGGUGUUUGGCACCUCGAUGUCGGCUCAUCACAUCCUGGGGCUGAAGUAGGUCCCAAGGGUAUGGCUGUUCGCCAUUUAAAGUGGUACGCGAGCUGGGUUUAGAACGUCGUGAGACAGUUCGGUCCCUAUCUGCCGUGGGCGCUGGAGAAUUGAGGGGGGCUGCUCCUAGUACGAGAGGACCGGAGUGGACGCAUCACUGGUGUUCGGGUUGUCAUGCCAAUGGCACUGCCCGGUAGCUAAAUGCGGAAGAGAUAAGUGCUGAAAGCAUCUAAGCACGAAACUUGCCCCGAGAUGAGUUCUCCCUGAGACUUUAAGUCUCCUGAAGGAACGUUGAAGACGACGACGUUGAUAGGCCGGGUGUGUAAGCGCAGCGAUGCGUUGAGCUAACCGGUACUAAUGAACCGUGAGGCUUAACCUUACAACGCCGAAG